CCCUUAGAUGUUCUGGGCCGCACGCGCGCUACACUGAUGCAUUCAACGAGUCUAAAACCUGCUCUGAUAGGGGUGGGUAAUCUUUUGAAUGUGCAUCGUGAUUGGGAUAGAUGAUUGAAAUUUUUCAUCUUCAACGAGGAAUUCCUAGUAGACGUAGUUCAUCAGACUGCAUCGAUUACGUCCCUGCCCUUUGUACACACCGCCCGUCGCUCCUACCGAUUGAAUGCUCAGGUGAGCCAUUCGGACUUUCAUCAUGCUGGUUUCCAGUUUUGAUGAAGGAAAGUCUUGCGAACCUUAUCAUUUAGAGGAAGGAGAAGUCGUAACA
rnacentral:rRNA from 1 species